rnacentral:tRNA from 1 species
GGAGGUAUAGCUCAGUGGCAGAAUGUGUGCUUAGCAUGCACAGGGUCCUGGGUUCAAUCUCCAGUACCACCA